UACGAAGGGGACUAGCGUUGUUCGGAAUCACUGGGCGUAAAGCGCACGUAGGCGGAUGUGUCAGUCAGGGGUGAAAUCCCGGGGCUCAACCUCGGAACUGCCUUUGAUACAGCACGUCUCGAGUCCGGAAGAGGUGGGUGGAAUUCCUAGUGUAGAGGUGAAAUUCGUAGAUAUUAGGAAGAACACCGGUGGCGAAGGCGGCCCACUGGCCCGGUACUGACGCUGAGGCGCGAAAGCGUGGGGAGCAAACGGG
rnacentral:rRNA from 1 species